GUUUGUUGUUGGGUUCUAUAAUCUGUGCGGGCGGGCGCAUAGGAUUGGCCUUACGCAGGGCGCGAGGGUUGGCGGAAACGGCUCGGAUUGUGCACAGAAUCCGUCCCACCGUCCACCGAUUCUCGUAUCUACCCUUCACUGAAAUCCUGGUGUCGCCAGGUGACAGAUUUUGCAUGCCUCCUCAGGCUGUGGUACAGCUUGCCCUUGAUCCGGAAAGGUCUUUAAUGGUAGCGUCUCAUCAUAGCGGGAUGUGGUCCACGCCCAAGCACUCGAUUCCAGCCCGUGGAAAGGCCAAAGGGGUGGCUUAGAUGUGUGCCCGCGGAGGUGUGUGUGCCGUGAGAGCCAAUUACACAAUGCCCACAGAUCUGGACUGCCCUGUUUCGUUGAGAUUGAGGCGUCGUUCAUAGAGUUGAGUUUCAAGCUGUGUGUAUAGCAGUGAAUUCAUUGUGAAAUGCUGCACAUGGACUUUUCUUGGAGCGAUGUUGGAGUUCCUUCGGUGUGGUGUUGCAAUAUUUGUGAUGCUAAUAUGGUCUUGUCAAUGUUUAGGGGCAAAGGCCUGAUUAUGCAGAUGCUUGGUGUAAGCUUAUGCUUGUACAACUUUUGCUAUUGGCCUCCACCCCUAAAUCUUGGCAAGACCUAAUUAGCCCACAACAUUGAAUUGACCGGGACCGGCGACUAAUCAGUACGAGCUCAAGCAGGAAGGCGUUCGGAGUCAGAAACAUGAAAAGCCUAAAUGUUUCGUUUCUCGUGAGCAGUGAGAACGUUAACACGGCUUGCGACCUUGAUACCCACCACCAAGUUCAAUGAGAAUGUAACUAAGUUACCCUUAUGCAAUGUGCAUGGAUAUCGGCUUCCUGGUAUGUAAAAGAUUGCUAGUUUGUUGCAUAAACCUGCUACGUCAUAUUGACAGUCUUGUUUGCUAUUCGCCGCGUGUGUUUUCAUCCUCAAGCAAAACACAGUGGUCAGAUUUUAGAUUAGUGCUCGAAAAACGAUGUGGAUGUAAAGUAAUGUGGAUAUGUAGUGAAUAUGCACUGAUAACUGUCUUUGUGGAACAAAUCUUUCAGUUUACCGCUUUUGUUCCCGAGUCUUGCAUUGUGGAUUUAGGUUAUAUAUCUCAAUUAGUUAGCGCCUUGGGUUUGUUAUUUUAAUGCAUCUGAAAUUCUAUGUGCAACCUGCAAUAAAUCUACAAAUUAAAUAGGAA